CCUACGGGCGGCAGCAGUGGGGAAUAUUGCACAAUGGGGGAAACCCUGAUGCAGCGACGCCGCGUGAGUGAAGAAGUAUUUCGGUAUGUAAAGCUCUAUCAGCAGGGAAGAAAAUGACGGUACCUGAUUAAGAAUCCCCGGCUAACUACGUCCCAGCAGCCGCGGUAAUACGUAGGGGGCAAGCGUUAUCCGGAUUUACUGGGUGUAAGGGGAGCGUAGACGGCAGCGCAAGUCUGAAGUGAAAUGCCGGGGCUUAACCCCGGAACUGCUUUGGAAACUGUGGGGCUAGAGUGCAGGAGAGGUAAGUGGAAUUCCUAGUGUAGCGGUGAAAUGCGUAGAUAUUAGGAAGAACACCAGUGGCGAAGGCGGCUUACUGGACUGUAACUGACGUUGAGGCUCGAAAGCGUGGGGAGCAAACAGGAUUAGAUACCCUUGUAGUC
rnacentral:rRNA from 1 species